GAAGGUUGAAUAGCUAUUCACUCUUACGAGAGGUAGAAGAGCUUAAAUGUUUUGUCUUUGGAGGAGAACUUCGAAAUACUUCGCAGUACUGGGUCAGUGGAAGAUUUGGCAAUUUCUCAUAACCUCUGCAGCUGGGUCAGUGGAGUUAGGCAAAUGAUUCUCGACCAUGGCUGCUUAGAGAAACGAGGUGGAAGUGUUGAGAUGAAACGAUAUUGAGGGCGCUGUUUAUCCUGGUCAUGCAUCAACGCAACGUAGCAGCAUGAUAUGCAUGCUGCCCUGAUCUACAGCUGCAGCUGGGCUAAGUAGAAGCCGGUGCCCAAGCCGAAGUCCAUUUUUUAUGCACAGUCGUCCUUCAACAUACCAUAACUUACCCCUUCACCGUUGAGUAUGUGCACCAGCAGUCCGUUGCCACAGCCCAAGU